GACGAACGCUGGCGGCGUGCUUAACACAUGCCAGUCGAACGGAAAGGCCCUGCUUUUGUGGGGUGCUCGAGUGGCGAACGGGUGAGUAACACGUGAGUAACCUGCCCUUGACUUUGGGAUAACUUCAGGAAACUGGGGCUAAUACCGGAUAGGAGCUCCUGCUGCAUGGUGGGGGUUGGAAAGUUUCGGCGGUUGGGGAUGGACUCGCGGCUUAUCAGCUUGUUGGUGGGGUAGUGGCUUACCAAGGCUUUGACGGGUAGCCGGCCUGAGAGGGUGACCGGCCACAUUGGGACUGAGAUAAGGCCCAGACUCAUACGGGAGGCAGCAGUGGGGAAUAUUGCACAAUGGGCGGAAGCCUGAUGCAGCAACGCCGCGUGCGGGAUGACGGCCUUCGGGUUGUAAACCGCUUUCGCCUGUGACGAAGCGUGAGUGACGGUAAUGGGUAAAGAAGCACCGGCUAACUACGUG
rnacentral:rRNA from 1 species